GACAGAGGGUGCAAACGUUGUUCGGAAUUACUGGGCGUAAAGCGCGUGUAGGCGGCUUUGCAAGUCGGGCGUGAAAUCCCAUGGCUCAACCAUGGAAGUGCACUCGAAACUGCAGAGCUAGAGUCCUGGAGAGGAAGGUGGAAUGCUUGGUGUAGAGGUGAAAUUCGUAGAUAUCGAGAAGAACACCGGUGGCGAAGGCGGCCAUCUGGACAGAUACUGACGCUGAGACGCGAAAGCGUGGGGAGCAAACAGG
rnacentral:rRNA from 1 species